GACGAACCGUGCAAACGUUGUUCGGAAUCACUGGGCUUAAAGGGCGCGUAGGCGGGCAGGCAAGUCGAAGGUGAAAUCCCACGGCUCAACCGUGGAAGUGCCCCCGAUACUGCCUGUCUCGAGGGAGAUAGGGGCGUGCGGAACUUCCGGUGGAGCGGUGAAAUGCGUAGAUAUCGGAAAGAACACCAACGGCGAAAGCACUCUGCUGGGCCGACACUGACACUGAGAGACGAAAGCUAGGGGAGCGAAUGGG
rnacentral:rRNA from 1 species